rnacentral:lncRNA from 1 species
ACAAAUCGAUGGUUUAUUUUCCUUCAGUGUCGAAUGGUGAAAAUGGAUGGUGCUGCGAUGAAUGAUAAACUGAUAAACUGAGGUGAUAAAUUAAGGUUCUGUCCUUGUGUACCAGUUCACAAGAGCCGAUACAAAAGACCGAACAAUACACAACAGCUAACCAAUGGCUCCUAAACAAAGAAAGAACAAUGGUAAUUCCCUUGUGAACCGGUACACCAGGACAGAACCUAAAUUAAAGUGAAACCUACCGAAACUAAAAAACACAACACACGAGCUCUGAACCGAAUGGGCCUGGGAAACCAAGCUGACUGAGUGGGUCCCAGGACCCACUGACCAAAAAAAGGCGGCAAAACCCGUAACAUGGAGUGUCGAAAACAGUUUAUGUGCCAUUCAUGCGAUGAAAAGGUUCACAGAACAAUGUCAAAAACACCCAAUAUUUUAUCAAUGCUCAUAAAACUUGUACAAUAGAAUGAAGGGGGCAAAUUUUGUAAAUUUUACUUUUUUUAGAGGCCUGAAUACAAGUGGCUGUUGGUUAUUGCAUUACUUAUAUUUUAAUUUGGUGUGUUUUAUUGAGUUUAUUUAUAUAAAAGAUAUAUAAAGUCGAGGUUUAAUCAUUAGGUUCUGCACUAUAGUAACUGUUAUCAUCCAUUGUCUUUAAUAAUAUGCAGUUAUAUUAUGAAAAAAAUGAUACAUUUUUGGCAGUUAUAAUUGUUUUCUUCAACAGACAAAGGAGGCAAUCAUAUUAUGAAGAUCUUUUUAUUGCCAACAAGGGGGAUGUUGAUAGUCACAUGAACAAAGUAUAUGCAAAGCAGUCCAAAUCUAAGAUCGUGAGGAGCUCAUUACUGAGCAUGCUAUUGCUUGGAAUCAAAGUAAAAUCAAUGGCAUGGCACAGAGUCUGUCAAGAGGAUACAUACGGGGGUGGAAGCCUGGCAAGGCAAGGGCAGUGGUAUACUGCGGAUUCAAGAUGAGGUUGAAAUGUUGGUUUCUGCCAUUCAACAGACCACUCAUUCAAUAAGCGGACUAGCAGACUUGUCCAAACAGCGUGCACACCUCCGCAAAAAGAUUUCUUCAAACAAGAAUAAGCUGUCAUUCAUAAUAGAUAAGUACAAUCAAGAGAAAGAAGGCAAUGAAGCUUUGCAAGCUACUGUCUCUGAAGUUAUGAAGGGGAAUUUCUCAUGGGGAAACACAACAGGUAAACUUUGUGAAUUUUAGUACUCAAUUCAACUUGUCUCUUUUGUUGAGCAUUUCAGGUUGUGGCUGUCAUUUUUGUUCUAAGUAUAAUUAUUUUCAUUCUAUCAUUGAUUAAGUAUUUUCUUGUACAUUGUACAACUUACUAAUCUUUUAUAAGAUAAGACACACUUGUGAUAGGGGGUAGCUUAGUAGCUACGGUCAUUGUGUUGGUGUCUUAAGAAAGACACUAUGCUCCAGCACUGCCCCUCUCAAGCAAAUUGUACCAGCAAACUGUUCACAACUUCUAAUGGAUUAGGCCCCUUCUGAGGUGUUGCGUUUUUUCCAACUUCUGAGCACGCAGGACAUUAAAAUCAAGAACAACAACAACAACAACAGCAACAACAACAAGCCGCUUAUUUUCUUUGCUUUUAAAACGUUAUUUUGCAAAUAGUAAAUGCUAAUCUAGGCGGGCCAUUGAUUGCUUAUGCAUAAAACUAGAUCAAUUAAAUAACAUUAAUAACAAUUAAGAUUUAGUUACAUGUAAUAUUAUUAUAAUAGUUUCUGCAUAUUAAGAUUGCUAAAACAAAAUGAGGGGAGAAUAAUGAGAGAAGACACUGAUUUUAAUUACUUAAAGUUUCCUGUUCUUGAAUAAUCUCGUGUUUAAUAAGAAAGGAAUUUUCUUUG